rnacentral:tRNA from 1 species
GGCCAAUUGGUCAAGCGGUUAAGACGCCGCCCUCUCACGGCGGAAACAGGGGUUCGAUUCCCCUAUUGGCUACUA